rnacentral:piRNA from 1 species
UGGACAUAAAGUAAAGCAGAACUCGAGAGC